rnacentral:rRNA from 1 species
GACGAACGCUGGCGGCGUGCUUAACACAUGCAAGUCGAACGGAAAGGCCCUGCUUUUGUGGGGUGCUCGAGUGGCGAACGGGUGAGUAACACGUGAGUAACCUGCCCUUGACUUUGGGAUAACUUCAGGAAACUGGGGCUAAUACCGGAUAGGAGCUCCUGCUGCAUGGUGGGGGUUGGAAAGUUUCGGCGGUUGGGGAUGGACUCGCGGCUUAUCAGCUUGUUGGUGGGGUAGUGGCUUACCAAGGCUUUGACAGGUAGCCGGCCUGAGAGGGUGACCGGCCACAUUGGGACUGAGAUACGGCCCAGACUCCUACGGGAGGCAGCAGUGGGGAAUAUUGCACAAUGGGCGGAAGCCUGAUGCAGCAACGCCGCGUGCGGGAUGACGGCCUUCGGGUUGUAAACCGCUUUCGCCUGUGACGAAGCGUGAGUGACGGUAAUGGGUAAAGAAGCACCGGCUAACUACG